UACGUAGGCAGCGAGCGUUGCUCGGAUUUACUGGGCGUAAAGGGCGCGUAGGCGGCCACCGCAAGUCGGUUGUGAAAUCUCCGGGCUUAACCCGGAAAGGUCAAUCGAUACUGCGGGGCUAGAGUGCAGAAGGGGCAACUGGAAUUCUCGGUGUAGCGGUGAAAUGCGUAGAUAUCGAGAGGAACACCUGCGGCGAAGGCGGGUUGCUGGGCUGACACUGACGCUGACAGCGCGAAAGCUAGGGGAGCGAACGGG
rnacentral:rRNA from 1 species